rnacentral:lncRNA from 1 species
ACCGUAUAAACCAAUCAACAAAACAUGUACAAAAAAAAAUGGGAUUUAGAAGUCAAUGUGGUAUAAGACAUUUUCCAAAAUAAUGAUGGAUUAAUGAACACAUAAUUUAUACGACAUACGAAUUCAUGAAUUGAUGAAUUUAAAACUAUUUAUUAAAAAAAACGAACUAGAGAUAUAUGCGUAAUUAUUAAAAUACGUGUUAUAAAAUAAAUAUUUUAAAAUCAAAUAGUAUAUAAUGUAACGUCCCCUAACCCUAUACCAUCACCAAAACAGGGUUACGAGACAUUAGCAGUCAGUACAGUCCAAUUCCGGUCAUUAAUUAAAAUAAAUAUUCACACACAUCCUAGUUUUAAGAUGUCGUCCCUUUAAUGGGCCUCGCGGUCCAAUAUGAACAGUAAAUUCAAUUCGGGACUAAUUUAAAAUCACUACGAAUUCUUAGUAAAUUUCAAAAUUCAUACUACAUACCGUUGCCAACCAUAAUUUACUCAUUUCAUCAAUACUUCUAUAACCUAAAUGACUCUCAUAAAACGUCCUAGGUACAUGCCAUUAUCAAUACUCAACAUACUUUACCUUAAUGAAUUCGGGAUCGUCUUGGGAUGCUGAUUCAACGUACUAUCUUUACUUAACCUGCAGACGGAAACAAACCGUACGCUGAGUAUGGUAUACUCAGUGGUAUUUCUAUAAUCUGAACAAUUAAUAAUAAAACAAAUACUUAAGAUCAUAAUAAUAAUUACAAUUAUUCAAUUAUUUAUUCAUAGAUAAAUUUCAACUACUUACCAUAUAAAUUUUAUACAGUUUAUAUAAUAAACACAAUAACAUAAUUGUUCAAUUAUUAAAUAAAUCCAUUACUAUUUACUCCGUUCUUUCACUUACUAUUCGGUAUAGCUUUCCUUAAUUUACUCACAAUUCAAUAUCAUUAAACUAUAUUCAACUAUAUACUUAUCAAUCAUAUUCCAUUUUAAUUCAUUUCAAUAACAGUCAAUUUCAUUUAUAUCGUAACAACUUACUAUCCCUGAUAGCUUUCAGUAUAUACAUACGAUUCAUAUAUCUCAAAUCACAUUUCAAUUCAUCAAGUGGCAUCAUAUAUCAUCAAUUCGAACUCCAAUCAUUUCAUGAACCUUUGGUUCAUAUUUUCAAUUUCAUAUCUAAAUUUUCAAUUCUCAAUUCAAUUUCUCGUUUCAUUUCAAUAGCUUGAUCAAUCAAAUUUAUUCGAUUUAUCUUUCACUUAUUUACCCCUAUUAACAAACCCAGACUUUGACAGAUACACGGAUUCCAACCCAAACACACCAGUACGGCACAUUGUGCCUAAAACGGUACAUAGUACCUGAUCAGUAUACGACACAUAAAGUGCCUAAAACGACACACGAGGUGCCUGAUACGACACACGAGGUGCCUGAUACGACACACGAGGUGCCUGAAAUACGACACAUAAAGUGUCUGAUCGAUAAAGCCGGCAAAUCCCGUACACUUCCAGAUCCUAUGGCCUGCCAAUUAUAUCCGACUCAGCCCGACUAAUUAAUAGGGUAUUUCAUUCACUUUCUCAAUUUAAUAAUUCUUUCAUCAAUAUACCAUUCUAAUAAUCACAUAUAUUCACCCAUUUUCACAAUUCAUACAAUUUCAUUCAAUUCAACAAUAUAUUUCAAUUAUUCAUAUUAAUUCAUAAUUCAAUACAAUUCAAUUCACUUUUCAAUAUCAAAUAUUCAAAUAUCACAAUCUCAUAUAUUCAUAUCAAUUUCAUCAUAUUUCCAAUCAAUAUAUUUUUCAAUAUAACAUUCAUUCAAUAUUCAAAUUUCUACAUAAAUCAUGUAUAUUAUAUAAUUCAAUCAAUAUAAAUUCAAUCAAAUAAUUUCAAUCAAUAUAAAUUCAAUAAAUUCAUCGCAUACCAAAAUCAAUCCAUUCCAAUUGUAAAACAUCAUAAUUCUAACACUAACAAUUGCAAUAUGUAUAUAAAUAUAACAAAUAAUAACUAAUUUUGGAUUAUAGAAAUACAAACCGUAAUUUUCGAGCUAACUCCAGUUGACUUUGUCUUGUCCUUUCUUAGCCGAGAUUUCCGGUACCACAUUGACUACGAAAUUAAUACAAUUCAUAAUCAUUAAUACAUUACUAAUUCAUAUCUUGAGUUACAGAAUUCUAAAUUAAGAUCCGCUAAUUUUUCCUGAAACUAUACUCACAAAUCUUCUUACAAUAAAAUUUUCAGAAUUUUUGGUUUAGCCAUUAAGUACAGUUUAUUCUUCAAAUUCACCCCUAUUCUGCUGUCUGACAGUUUCGUCCCUUCUUCACUAAAAAUUAAUUAUCUCAUAGGAAAGAACUCGGAUAAUAUUCCCGUUGAUUUCUCCUGAAAAUAGACUCAUUAGGGAUUCUAAACAUAUAACUUUAAGCCUCUAAUUAUUUUUCUUCAAUUUUUGGUGAUUUUCCAAAGUCAGAACAGGGGAACCCGAAUUCAUUCUGACCUUGUCUCACAAAAUUCAUUAUAUCUCAUAAUUUACAAUUCAAUUACUUAUAUCGUUUCUUGUAUAAGAAACUAGACUCAAUAAGCUUUAAUUUCAUAUUUUAUUCAUCUUCUAAUUCGAUUUCUAUAAUUUUUUAUGAUUUUUCAAAGUUAGACUACUGCUGCUGUCUAAAACAGUUUUAGUGCAAAAUGUUGAUUUACUUUAAUUUCAAUUUAAUCCUAACUAAAUUCUCUUACUUUUCUAUCUUAAUUCAUACUUUAUUUCUAUUCAAAAUUUGUCCAAACUCAUACUUAACUAUUAAAUUUCCAGCAUAUUUUCAUAAUUUCGAAUUUAUUUCCAUUUAAUCCCUAAAACUCAAAACUUAUAGCUUAGUUUACGAUUCAAUCCUUUAUUCAAUUCCAAUCAAAAUUUCUAUCAAAUAAACCCCCAAUUCCAUCAUUUUAUUCAACAUGAACCAAACUUAGAAAUCUAAUGACUUUCAAAAUUUCUACUUAAAACAAGUACUAUUUAUCUCUAGGAUUCCAAAUAACUCAAAAAUCAUAAGAAAAUGGGCUAAAUUGACUUACCAAAUUAACUUGGAACCUUUAAAACCUUAUUUUCCCUUUUUCUUUUCUUUCUUUCUUUCUCCCCUAUUUCUUCUCUGUUUCGUUUCCUGCUAUUCUCUUUCCUUCCUUCUUUUUAUUCUUUUGU